rnacentral:rRNA from 1 species
AGAGUUGACCUGGCUCAGAACGAACGCUGGCGGCAGGCCUAACACAUGCAAGUCGAGCGAGGACUUCGGUCCUAGCGGCGGACGGGUGAGUAACGCGUGGGAACGUGCCCUUCACUACGGAAUAGUCCCGGGAAACUGGGUUUAAUACCGUAUACGCCCUUCGGGGGAAAGAAUUUCGGUGAAGGAUCGGCCCGCGUCUGAUUAGGUAGUUGGUGGGGUAACGGCCUACCAAGCCUACGAUCAGUGGCUGGUUUGAGAGGAUGAUCAGCCACACUGGGACUGAGACACGGCCCAGACUCCUACGGGAGGCAGCAGUGGGGAAUCUUAGACAAUGGGGGCAACCCUGAUCUAGCCAUGCCGCGUGAGUGACGAAGGCCCUAGGGUCGUAAAGCUCUUUCACCAGGGAAGAUAAUGACGGUACCUGGAGAAGAAACCCCGGCUAACUCCGUGCCAGCAGCCGCGGUAAUACGGAGGGGGUUAGCGUUGUUCGGAAUUACUGGGCGUAAAGCGCGCGUAGGCGGACUGUUAAGUCAGGGGUGAAAUCCCGGGGCUCAACCCCGGAACUGCCCUUGAUACUGGCAGUCUCGAGUUCGAGAGAGGUGAGUGGAACUCCGAGUGUAGAGGUGAAAUUCGUAGAUAUUCGGAAGAACACCAGUGGCGAAGGCGGCUCACUGGCUCGAUACUGACGCCGAGGUGCGAAAGUGUGGGGAGCAAACAGGAUUAGAUACCCUGGUAGUCCACACCGUAAACGAUGAAUGCCAGACGUCGGGCAGCAUGCUGUUCGGUGUCACACCUAACGGAUUAAGCAUUCCGCCUGGGGAGU